rnacentral:rRNA from 1 species
ACGCUGCCAAUGCUUAACACAUGCAAGUCUACUUGAACUUCGGUUUGGGUGGCGGACGGGUGAGUAACGCGUAAAGAACUUGCCUCACAGUUAGGGACAACAUUUGGAAACGAAUGCUAAUACCUGAUAUUAUGAUUUUAGGGCAUCCUAAGAUUAUGAAAGCUAUAUGCGCUGUGAGAGAGCUUUGCGUCCCAUUAGCUAGUUGGAGAGGUAACGGCUCACCAAGGCGAUGAUGGGUAGCCGGCCUGAGAGGGUGAACGGCCACAAGGGGACUGAGACACGGCCCUUACUCCUACGGGAGGCAGCAGUGGGGAAUAUUGGACAAUGGACCAAGAGUCUGAUCCAGCAAUUCUGUGUGCACGAUGACGUUUUUCGGAAUGUAAAGUGCUUUCAGUUGGGAAGAAAAAAAUGACGGUACCAACAGAAGAAGUGACGGCUAAAUACGUGCCAGCAGCCGCGGUAAUACGUAUGUCACAAGCGUUAUCCGGAUUUAUUGGGCGUAAAGCGCGUCUAGGUGGUUAUGUAAGUCUGAUGUGAAAAUGCAGGGCUCAACUCUGUAUUGCGUUGGAAACUGCAUGACUAGAGUACUGGAGAGGUAAGCGGAACUACAAGUGUAGAGGUGAAAUUCGUAGAUAUUUGUAGGAAUGCCGAUGGGGAAGCCAGCUUACUGGACAGAUACUGACACUAAAGCGCGAAAGCGUGGGUAGCAAACAGGAUUAGAUACCCUGGUAGUCCACGCCGUAAACGAUGAUUACUAGGUGUUGGGGGUCGAACCUCAGCGCCCAAGCUAACGCGAUAAGUAAUCCGCCUGGGGAGUACGUACGCAAGUAUGAAACUCAAAGGAAUUGACGGGGACCCGCACAAGCGGUGGAGCAUGUGGUUUAAUUCGACGCAACGCGAGGAACCUUACCAGCGUUUGA